UCCCUCCGCGUCCGGCGUGCGAGGGAAGGGGUGGCGGGACUCCACGACCCAGGAUCCCUCGCGCGGCAGGCGAGGAGGGACGGGAGGCCUCGCGCCUUGAUUGGUUGCGCUGCGAGGGAGCCCCGCCCGCUGGGGUGUGGAGCUGCUGCUAGGCCCGAGUAGCCGCAGACUGGUUUAGGUCGGAGGGGGAAAGUCUGGGGAGCCUGAGGGAGGUUCCCAGCUCUUAGCACAACCUCUCCUGCUAGGGUAUAGGGUGGGGGGUCUGUCCCCUUGCUCCAGGCUGCUUUUCUCCCCUGCCCAAGGCUUUAUAGGUGGGCUCCAAGCACUUUGAGAGGGGGAGAGAGAGAAAAAAACCCGGUGAAAGCUCUGCUCCUAAGCCAGGUGCUGUUACCUCUGCUUGCAAAAUUUGGGAGCAAGGAGGUGAGGGGGCCAUUUGCAUUGCCAAGGCCUGUGUGCUCCCUUGCCCCUCAGUGACGGUGCUAAAUGCCGCCUCCUCCAAGGGGUGUUGGCCUGUCUAUGUCUGGAGAUGGGUGUUUGUGCCUGAAAGCUUGCAAAGAAUGAUUUUUCCAACUAGGUCUAACGAAAGAUACGUCUACCCAAAGAGCCUCAUCUGCCUUGCUGCUCCAACCCUUUCCCUUAGAGCACAGAGGGGCCACUUGGGAGGCGCAAGAGGGACCCUGAGAAGAAGAAGAAGGUGGUGGGUGGGGGCUAAGUGUUGGGUCUUAGGUAGUUGUUGCCAAGGAGAAAGGCAUGAAUCUUGAAAAUGCUUCUGCGCUCUGUAAAGUCUUUCUUUGCAGUUAUCUCUGGCUUCAAGGGGCUGUGGGAGUGACAGGGUGUAUGGGACCAGACAGACCCUGCCCAAUGGGAGCUUGAUCCUCAACUGGGCCCUGCAGGUAUUCCUAUGACAUGCCUUAGCCUAGCACCCUUCUCACCCCAAGGAAAUGAGAAGAAACUAGCUAGUGUUUUGAGACUUCUGUUCCUUGCCAUUGCGGGCUACAAACCAACUGGUUGGGCAGGUACACUCCCAUAAGUCCACAGCAGCACCUCCUGACCAGCACCACAUGUUCAGUGAAGAUCCAGAACACAUGGGAAGGAUUCCUAGUGAAGAAGGUGUGCAUACACAGGCCAAGAACCUCCCCUUGGGUCCUUUCUCCUUGCUAUAGAAACUCAAGCUUCACACAGCUUCAUCUGAUUCAGGUGAAAAUCUCUGUAAUGAAAUGCAUCUUUUGCUUCACUACCAAUAUUUAUCAGAUGGUUCCAUUUAGAGGGCUAGUAGCAAGGGAAAUGGUAAUGCCCAAACCCAGCUGUUCUGGAGGUUCAUAAAUCUUGAAGCAGGAUUGAAGAAUGCAAGAAAGAGAUUGGUCCAACAAUUGUUCUAGAUUUGCAGAGAUGAAUCAUGAUGCUGUCUUUUCCCCACAGUACUACCAAGUCUUUCAGCCACUACAAGAACAUUCCUAUUGAUCUGCAUCCCAAUAGUGUAUAAUUGUCAUGUUGUGUUGAGAGAAGAGAGAGAAGACAGAGAGAAAGAAAAGAGGAGACAGAGAAAAAUGGAUAGAGAAAGAGAAAAAGAAGAAAUAGAAAAAGGAGAGAAGAGAGAGAGAAAAAAGAAAAAGAGGAGAAACGCGGAAAUAAGAGAAGAGAGAAAACGAGGAGAAGGAAGAGAAGAAAAAGAAGAACAGCAGAAAGAGAGAGAAAAAGAGAAAAAAAAAAGGAAAAAGAGAAAAAGUGUGUCCCUUGCUGCCCAUGUCUCCCACUGUUACCAGCUGUAUCUCGGGCCCGCUAGUUCAGGGCAGUGUCCGGCAGAGGGAGGCAGUGACACCCCAACAGCAGCUGCGAGGGCCAAGGCGCCCAGACCUCCUCAAUAGUCCCAGAGCAGGGGUAGCCUGGGCCCAGAGCUGGGAGGGAUGGCGGGACUGGCCACGGCUUGGACAGACAGAUGCCCUGACUCACCCAGGUGGGGGCAACACUGGGAUGCCAUGUGUUGGGGCUGGGCAUUCGGGGCAGGGUCCGGGGGGAGAGAAGGAGGUGUCAUGGGCAGGGCAGGCCAGCCCAGCCAGGCCCCUGGGAAGGCGGCAGCUGGAGGAGAGUUGGGGCUGGGUGGGAAGCAGGGGCUGUCCCAGGGCUUUGCGACUCAGGCCAUGGCAGCUGAGCAGGGGCACCCAGCAGCACCUGAGGUGGGGCUCAGCUCAGCCCAUGCAGCUCCAUGAGGAUGGGCUGCAGCUGCCCUACUCGUGAGAGGAUGGCAUCUGGCCAGGGCAGGAUGCUGGGCUUGGGGACCUCUGGGCUUGGCUUCCAUAUGUGCUGGCCAUAGCAUGAGUGGGGUGAAGCCACCCCUGGUGCAAGGGCCUGGCCGUGGGAUCGCCUCUGGGCCGUGGGAACAGCUGCUGCAGGCAAUGCUCGGGGCCGAGCUGACCGGAAACCUUCAGCACAGCACCACUCCACAGCGCCUGCCCAGGUCCCGGCCCCACCCAGCUGCAGCUCCCCUCCAGGGACAGGGUGCACGGGCAGCAGAACGCAGACUGUGUCUCUGCCUGUGUGCUCCUCACCCCACCCCAGGUGCCUGCCACAGCACUGGGACCUGCGGCUGCUCCAGAGAGCCCAGAGCAGCAACUUAAAAAAUAUUUGUUUUUUUAAAUAAUUUUUUCACGCACCUCCUGGCCAGUUAAAAUGUCUCCCUGUGCUGCUAAUUGCCAUACAUGCCAGGGGGGUUGCCUAUCCCUCCUAUAAAGUGACAUGGUUAUUGUAGCUAGAUGGAUGGAUGUUACAUUAAGUAGGCAAUGUUUCUUUGGCAAUGCUGGUUUGGACAUUUAAUUGUUGUAACACACUUCCUGUAAAGGCAGAAGGCUGUAAAGUUUGCUCACUUCUCUUACACUAGAUUGUUGAAUAUUAACUGUGUAGCAGCAGCAGCCUACUGGGCUUUGAAUGAGUAAAUACAAUAAAUAUUACAAAACAAUAGAAAAUUAAUUACCUUCCCAGACCUGAGAUCUGUUUUUUGCAACUUAGCUUUUAAAAUUCAUGCAGUAUCUUUUCAAACUAUUAUAAGGUUGAAGUUAGUGAUUAUUAUAUUAAUCAUCCAAGUACUUUGCUUCAAACCAACCCUACCUUGCCUAUAGUAGCAAGUAUCUUUGUACAAUUGUCUUGUAGCCAUUGUCACUGAGAUCUCAGCUGAAACAGCUGCAGGCACAAUACUUUGGCAGUUCAUAUAUGUAUCCUGGUUUUCAGAGCAGGCAUUUCUAGACACUAUCAUGAUAUUUUUAAUUUGCUGAGUCAAGGAAUUUUAAAUGCACAAUUUGAUGUGAGAUUGGAUGUGGAAGAGCAGUAUCAUUAAAGAAUAUUAAAAAAUAUGUAGAGAAGAGGACAGGCCUAUAUAAACUAGUAUUCCCAUCCCUCCUCCUUUUCUUUUUCAAGUUUUCUCUAUUUUUUUACUAUACCCACCAAUCCCUACAUUCUCCAUAAACACGUUUAGGUUCUUCUUGAACUCCUUAACAUCCUUGUUUUAAUGGUCUUUCCAAGUAUCUGAUUCUGUAUGUGUAUUUCCCAUUGUGUGAAGUAAUUCAGCCUAUGUUCUCUACUUACUAAAUGCUUUCUAAUUUUAGGAAUUAACCUCUGUUCUCUUUCCUCCUCAUAUUGAGAAGAGGAAUUCUUAGGGUGUCCUCCUUUUAAGGAGCUUGGUAGAAUAACAGGAUUCUGUUAUCCUUCAUAGAAUGUGGUUAAGAGUCAGGGCAGAGAUAGUGUGGCAAUAGCAAAUUUAAGGUAAAAAUAGCAUAAUGUAUAUGUGCAUUGGAAUAUUUGUUAAUAUUUACUAGUAUGGGCUUAUCAAAGCUGGUGAGGCUAAAUGGCUGCAUCUGAGUAUGACAAGCUGUCUAAAAAGUAUGGACAAGCUGUCCAAGUAAUAAGCAGAGAAAAAAAGUCAAAAGGUACUGCAUAAUCUGAAUCCCUCUCUUGAGUGGUCUAUUUAACAAACUCACCAAAGACUGCUGAUGUAUAAAGCACAUUUUUCAAUAAACAAAUUAUUUAAGUCACAAAAAAUUGCAGUAAGAGGCCAGUGGAUUUUUUCUUGAAAGCAGAAAGCUUUCCUUGCCUACCCAUGCCAGAUUCACUGUGGUUUACAUUUAUAUAUAGCUUAGACUAUGACCAUUUGGAAAUGAAACCUAUAUUGGUUUAGGAUUGCUUUGUUUAUGGGUCUAGUGACUAUUCAUUUUCUUUUAUUUAGAAAAUAUUUGUCAAUAUAUUCAUUUUUCAUUAUAAACAAAUUCAGAAUGUAAUUUAUUUCCUGAUUCUUAAAUAGCAUUACUCAGUUUUAUGACUAUAUGAAAACAGUGUAACUCCUACACAUGAGGGGCAAAGAUAUUGUACAGCCAGCAACCACAUUUUCUAAUUUAUGUAAUUAUAUUCUCAAACUGUCCAUUUCAUGUAUUUUCAAUAUAUGUAUAACACUGCUUAGUAAGGCUGUGCAAAACAGCAGCGUUCUGCUUUGACACCCGUUUCAAUGGAACAGUGUUUUGUUUUGA